UACGUAGGUGGCAAGCGUUGUCCGGAUUUAUUGGGUUUAAAGGGUGCGUAGGCGGUUCUGUAAGUCAGUGGUGAAAUACUCUAGCUUAACUAGAGGGGUGCCAAUGAUACUGCAGAACUUGAGUACAGAUGAGGUAGGCGGAAUUGACGGUGUAGCGGUGAAAUGCAUAGAUAUCGUCAAGAACACCGAUAGCGAAGGCAGCUUACUGGGCUGUAACUGACGCUGAUGCACGAAAGUGUGGGGAUCAAACAGG
rnacentral:rRNA from 1 species